AAGUCGUAACAAGGUUUCCGUAGGUGAACCUGCGGAAGGAUCAUUAACACUGAUCACCUUAUCAACCAAACGUGAACGAAAGCUUUUCCCUUGCCUGGUAAAAGUGUCUGUGGUCGUCAAAAAUGUGGGAGUUACUUCGGUGACUCAAACGACUACAGGCUAGGGGCUUCGAGCUCCAAGCUUUUAUCGGUUGCGAGGUUCAUUUUACAUCAUAUUUUAACCUCCACUUUUGGUUAAAGUAUGGUGAAACCUAAAAACCCCUUUAAACCUUUUUUUGAACUAAUCUGGUGUUCAUCUUAGUCCUUCUUCAUUGAGGUGACUCUUAUGAAUAACAUAUCUAACGCAAAACAACUCUUAGCAACGGAUAUCUCGGUUCUC
rnacentral:misc_RNA from 1 species